GACGAACGCUGGCGGCGUGCUUAACACAUGCAAGUCGUACGGUAAGGCCCUUUCGGGGGUACACGAGUGGCGAACGGGUGAGUAACACGUGAGUAACCUGCCCACAACUUUGGGAUAACGCUAGGAAACUGGUGCUAAUACUGGAUAUGUGCUCCUGCUGCAUGGUGGGGGUUGGAAAGCUCCGGCGGUUGUGGAUGGACUCGCGGCCUAUCAGCUUGUUGGUGGGGUAGUGGCCUACCAAGGCGGCGACGGGUAGCCGGCCUGAGAGGGUGACCGGCCACAGUGGGACUGAGAUACGGCCCAGACUCCGACGGGAGGCAGCAGGGGGGAAUAUUGCACAAUGGGCGCAAGCCGGAUGCAGCAACGCCGCGUGCGGGAUGACGGCCUUCGGGUUGUAAACCGCUUUCAGCAGGGACGAAGCUUUUUGUGACGGUACCUGCAGAAGAAGCACCGGCUAACUACGUG
rnacentral:rRNA from 1 species